rnacentral:lncRNA from 1 species
CGGGCGAGCGGGCACAGCGCGGCGGCGGCGGCACGAUGGCGGACGACAUGGUGACUGACGGCGGUGGGCAGAGCUUCCUCUGGUGGCUGAUUUCGCCGUUGAUCGGGAUCGGUAUCUUCCUCAUCCCGAUGGCUGUGAUUGGUUUCUUCAUGUACAAAUUAGUAAACAGCUUGAACGAAAAGGAGCGCAAGCGGGAAGAGAAGAAGAAGUUGAAGGAGCAAAAGAAGAAGAAGUAAACCUGUUCCGCGAACUCCAGAAGCAUGCGGCGCGCCUGCGCCGGGUGGCGGCGGCGGGCCGCGCCACGGGCGCCCCCGCGGCCGGCCUGCUGAGGACGGUGGCGCCCCCUGCGCGCCACCGGGCCGGCCGGGCUCGCGUUCGGCCGGUGCCGAUGGCCGGCCCGGCGCCAGGGCGCUCCGCCCGAUGGCGCGGUCAUCGGCCGCGGCCCGGCCCUCCUCUCAGGCCGGCGGCAAGUGUUGAUUUGUGCGCGCCUCAGGAGAUGGGGCCAAGUUUUGUUGGUAAUGUUCCGUUCCGUCUGCUGGCGGCUAUUUUUAUUAUGAAAUAAAGAAAGCCGACUAUGCC